rnacentral:rRNA from 1 species
UACGAAGGGGGCUAGCGUUGCUCGGAAUCACUGGGCGUAAAGGGUGCGUAGGCGGGUCUUUAAGUCAGGGGUGAAAUCCUGGAGCUCAACUCCAGAACUGCCUUUGAUACUGAAGAUCUUGAGUUCGGGAGAGGUGAGUGGAACUGCGAGUGUAGAGGUGAAAUUCGUAGAUAUUCGCAAGAACACCAGUGGCGAAGGCGGCUCAACUGGCCCGAUACUGACGCUGAUGCACGAAAGCGUGGGGAGCAAACAGG